UUUUUUUAUCCUGGAGCCCUUCUGUUUUUGUACUGCAAAGAUUCAUAUAAAUCCUGUGGUGGGGAUCUAUACCACCGGAACCCUGUGAAUUGAGCAAUUCCAUGUCUCCAUGUCUCUGUGUUUCUCUUUUGCAUAUGUCUCCUGAAUACAUCCAAAGUUGAAAAGAAUCCCAGAGUAGGGAUUGUACCACUCCAAUCCAAUACAAGAGAGCCAAUUAAGGCUCACUAAUAUGUGAGUGAAAUAUUUACUAUUGUCAUUUCCACUUUGGUUGAAAGUUUACUUCACCAUAGAGCAC